rnacentral:rRNA from 1 species
AUUGAACGCUGGCGGCAGGCUUAAUACAUGCAAGUCGAACGAGUGGCGGACGGGUGAGUAAUGCUUGGGAAUCUGGCUUACGGAGGGGGAUAACUACGGGAAACUGUAGCUACUACCGCUUACCAUAGGAUGAGCCCAAGUGGGAUUAGGUAGUUGGUGAGGUAAAGGCUCACCAAGCCGACGAUUCCUAGCUGGUCUGAGAGGAUGACCGGCCACACUGGGACUGAGACACGGCCCAGACUCCUACGUGAGGCAGCAGUGGGGAAUAUUGCGCAAUGGGGGCAACCUGACGCAGCCAUGCCGCGUGAAUGAAGAAGGCCUUCGGGUUGUAAAGUUCUUUCGGUAGCGAAGCGUUAACUACAGAAGAAGCACCGGCUAACUCCGUGCCAGCAGCCGCGGUAAUAC